rnacentral:rRNA from 1 species
CGCCUCUUGACUAAAAAUAAGAGGUCCCGCCUGCCCAGUGACCCAUGUUCAACGGCCGCGGUAUCCUAACCGUGCGAAGGUAGCGUAAUCACUUGUUCUUUAAAUGGGGACUAGUAUGAAUGGCACCACGAGGGUUAUACUGUCUCCCUUUUCUAAUCAGUGAAACUAAUCUCCCCGUGAAGAAGCGGGGAUAAAACUAUAAGACGAGAAGACCCUAUGGAGCUUUAAAUUUCAAUUCAAAUGCCCUUUAACCCUAAAGUUUGUAACUUUACCCUUACAAAACCAGCAUAAUGAAAUAGAAUUUUAGGUUGGGGUGACCGCGGAGUACAAAACAACCUCCACAUUGAACUAGGCCUAUCGCCUUGAGCAACGAACUACAAUCCUAUGCACAAAAAAAUUUACAUUCAUUGACCCAAUUUUUUGAUCAACGAACCAAGUUACCCUAGGGAUAACAGCGCAAUCCUCUUCAAGAGCUCCUAUCGCCAAGAGGGUUUACGACCUCGAUGUUGGAUCAGGGUAUCCCAGUGGCGCAGCCGCUACUAAU